AUACGGAGGAUCCGAGCGUUAUCCGGAUUUAUUGGGUUUAAAGGGUGCGCAGGCGGCCAUUUAAGUCAGCGGUUAAAUCGUGGGGCUCAACCCCAUUCUGCCGUUGAUACUGGCUGGCUUGAUUGCGGUCGAGGUUGGCGGAAUUCGUUGUGUAGCGGUGAAAUGCAUAGAUAUGACGAAGAACACCGAUUGCGUAGGCAGCUGACCAGACCGCAAAUGACGCUCAUGCACGAAAGUGCGGGGAUCGAACAGGAUUAGAUACCCUGGUAGUCCGCACAGUAAACGAUGAAUACUUGUUUUCGGCGAUAUAAUGUCGGAGGCAAAGCGAAAGCGAUAAGUAUUCCACCUGGGGAGUACGCCGGCAACGGUGAAACUCAAAGGAAUUGGCGGGG
rnacentral:rRNA from 1 species